rnacentral:misc_RNA from 1 species
CCGGAUAUAUGUAUAGUUUGAUAACACAGGAAAAUAUGUUCAAUUGUUAUUCGGAAAUAAAAAGAUGAGUUCUCGAGCUAGUUAUGAAUCUAAUACAAGCCUUACCAGGACGCAUAGAAGGCCCAAUGUUGAUUCUCUAGGGGAAGAGAUUGAGCGAAUUUCUUCAGUAGAAGUUGAGGGAGUUGAGAGGAUUGAGGAGGUGGAUAGAAGCCGACACUCAGCAUAUCAUAUUCUUAGGAAAAAUGUCCGAAGAGCCACAAGCACAAUCCGUAGUAUGGUUAGCGAUAGAGGAUCAACUGAUGAUGAUCUAGAUAAUAAUAUGUUUUUGCAACAAGAAUUAACUGAAGAGGAGGUGCGGAAAAGACAGGAAGCCUUUGAAGCGAUGAGCAGAAAAUUAAAUGAAUUUAUGGACUUAGAGAAAAAGCAUUUAGAGCAUCUUGAGAAAAUUGUAGAGUUUCUAUCAGCUGUGGAAUUAGCUAAAGAUGACAAGUUUAUUGUCACAAUGCCGAAAGAUCUAAAGACAAGAUACAAAAUUGUGUUUGGCAACAUCAUCUCUAUUCGGGACUUCCAUAAGAACGGGUUUACUCAGAGCCUGGUGAGUGCCCUGGGGAAUCCUGUAGAGUUGACCCAUCUUUUCAAGAAGAGACAACAGAGGAUAAAGGAAUUAUAUUCUAAAUAUUACAUAAACAAACCAAGAUCUGAUUAUGUUCUAAACGAAUUCAGUGACUUUUUUCAGGAAAUGGAGCAGGUUCAACAGUUUGAGAGUAUUGGGUUCAGAUAUGACUCCGAGCUUACAGUUCCAGUACAACAUUUACAAAGAUAUCCAAUUCUUCUGGAAGGUUUGAUCUCUUCAAGUAAACAAGCAGGAGAACUGGAGUACAUGGAGUACUUUACUCAAGUAUACAAGAUAUGUCAUGAUAUAAGUAUUACAGCGAAUAGUAUGAUGGAAGCAGGAAGAAUUCAGAACCUGGAGUUCGAUAUUACAUCACAGGGAACUUUAGUACACAGAGGAACUGUUCGGUGUAAAGAAAACGGGAAGAAGAAAACAUUUCCGGAGAUAUUCAAGAAGAAUAAAGACAGUUCUUUUGAUGCCCACGUCUUCUUUUUCGAUCAGUGUAUUAUUAUUACAGAGUUUACACCAAGGUGAAUAUAUUAUGUACAGGGUGGUACAGCAGCAGAGUUUACACCAAGAAAAGUAUCUACAUCAGAAGAUGAAUAUAAAUUUCUCCGAAGAUUUAAUACAAACCAUCUCACGGUAAAAGAUGAAGGAAAGAG